rfam:Pseudomonas putida S11 PPS11_c57, whole genome shotgun sequence.
ACAAGAACAAUAACAAGCAACUGCAACUCAGAAUAAGAACAAGACGAAACGGCUCACGCACAAUAAAAACAAGACGGCGGAGGCGCAGCUAACUGAUUCUUUUGGAGAGGAUGCGUGUUUGGGGCUUGCCCCACAACCAGGCAGAGAACAAUAAAAACUGCACUAAAAAGCAGCGCCUGAACUGGUUGGAUCGACAGAUCAACGUGACAUCAGCGACCAAAGCAAUCCGUUUGCUCUUAACCCCUGGAUUGGGGGUCGUCCACAAGCUUCGAGAUUUGUGGACAGGGCACUCAACAAAAACAAGAAGCCCAGCAGAAAAACAAUAAGAGCACGCAACGACUUCUUGGGGAGCUUAGGCUCCCCUUGUCGUUUCUACCCUUCUGGCAGGCAUCCUGCU